AUACGUAGGGGGCGAGCGUUGUCCGGAAUGAUUGGGCGUAAAGGGCGCGUAGGCGGCCCGGUAAGUCUGGAGUGAAAGUCCUCUUUUUAAGAUGGGAAUUGCUUUGGAUACUGUCGGGCUUGAGUGCAGGAGAGGUAAGUGGAAUUCCCAGUGUAGCGGUGAAAUGCGUAGAGAUUGGGAGGAACACCAGUGGCGAAGGCGACUUACUGGACUGUAACUGACGCUGAGGCGCGAAAGUGUGGGGAGCAAACAGGAUUAGAUACCCUGGUAGUCCACACUGUAAACGAUGAAUGCUAGGUGUAGGGGGUAUCGACCCCUUCUGUGCCGCAGUCAACACAAUAAGCAUUCCGCCUGGGGAGUACGGCCGCAAGGUUGAAACUCAAAUGAAUUGACGGGG
rnacentral:rRNA from 1 species